UACGUAGGGUGCGAGCGUUGUCCGGAAUUAUUGGGCGUAAAGGGCUCGUAGGCGGUCUGUCACGUCGAAAGUGAAAACUCAGGGCUUAACCCUGAGCCUGCUUCCGAUACGGGCAGACUAGAGGUAUGCAGGGGAGAACGGAAUUCCUGGUAUAGCGGUGAAAUGCGCAGAUAUCAGGAGGAACACCGGUGGCGAAGGCGGUUCUCUGGGCAUUACCUGACGCUGAGGAGCGAAAGCGUGGGGAGCGAACAGG
rnacentral:rRNA from 1 species